UACGUAGGGACCAAGCGUUGUCCGGAAUCAUUGGGCGUAAAGAGCGUGUAGGCGGCUUGUUAAGUCUUGCGUGAAAUCUCGGGGCUCAACCCCGAGCGGUCGUGAGAAACUGGCAGGCUAGAGUGCGGGAGAGGAGAGUGGAAUUCCUGGUGUAGCGGUGAAAUGCGCAGAUAUCAGGAGGAACACCGGUGGCGAAGGCGGGUCUCUGGGCCGGUACUGACGCUGAGGCGCGAAAGCGUGGGGAGCAAACAGG
rnacentral:rRNA from 1 species